CCUGGAUGAUCAGCCCUCAUCUGCCUCUCCCACUUCACCACAUACCAUCUCCUUCUAGUUCAUCCUGGGGCAGCCACACUGACCUCCUUUUCAGUUUCCUCUGCCUAGAACAGACUACUUCACUUUAUUCUUCUGACUGGCUCUGUGGAAAUAAAGUGAGACCACCUAAAUGGGAACAAUUAAAGGCUAUUUAUUCAGAGCUUCCUACAGCAAGGCAGUCAGCCACCAUUACCUGUGUUGUGAGACUCAAAGGCAAGCAAAGGAGUGGACAAAAGGGAAGGUUUCAGGUGUGCCCUGAUUGGAGGCUGUUAGCCUGGGGAAGCUUUGGGUGGGCUAACUAGAAGCGGGCAUCCUAUGUGACUGGCUUUCUCUAGUUGGCCCUAAGUUGGAAGCAAGGGCAAAGAUUAGGGAAGCUGUCAGUUCUUAACCAAGUCCUGGUUAUUUUGGGAUGAUUGUUACAGGGGCUAUUGUUUGGCUUCCUGGACUGGUUGCUGGAGACAGUGGUCUCACUUCCUACAAGUCUGCCUUAUAGAUAGUAGGUUGGCUUCCUGGGCUGUACACUGUAGGUAACAGGUUGGUUUCUUGGGUUGGUUGCUGCAUAUUGUGAGCCAGGUUCUAUUUUUAUAUACAGUCUGGCUACUGUCUGUUUUUAUAUUCAGUCUCUCAGCUCUGUAUCUUCUUUCUGGCCUGUUUUAUAUUUGACUUCCUUAGGGUUCUUCCUUGUCCACCAAUUUAAGGUAGGUCACUUUGUUUUUUAUUCUCAUGAUACCCUGUUGUUUUCCUUUGUGAUAUUUCCCCAAAUUUUUAAUUAUUUGUACUCUAUGCUUUUAGUUAAUGUUGCACAUAGUAGGUCCUCAACAGAUAUUUGUCGAAUACAAUGUUGAAUGAAUGAAUGAAUGAAUGAAUGAAUGAGUGAAUGUAGAUCAGGGUCUCUUUUUCCCAUUCCUAUCUGACUCUGACAGGUCACAGAAUUAUAGUGUUAGAGCCAGAAGGGCCAUCAGGGGCUAUUUAAUCCAACCAGCUCACCUCUCACAUGAGAAAAAACAAGGCCCAAGAGAAAGGAGUGACCUGCUCAGGGUCACAGUUAACAGUGGGAGAGCCAGAGCUAGAAACCAACCCCUUGGUUCACAGAACAAAGCACAUCCCUCCUAAUCACAAAGCCAAAUAAUGCAGAUACUGGGGCAGGCUGAGUCUCUUUACUCUUCUUUAUUAGGGGUGCCUAAUUUUCCUGUUUUAGAUCACCAGUGUGAUGUUAAGAUCGGCUUUUUAGUUCCAGCUCUGCUGGAACUGGUUUGCUUAUUCUUAGAUAAGUUUCCGAACUUUUCUGGGUCUAUUUUCUACUACUACUCCAUCUUGCUUACAGGGAAACUCCAAACGGAAAGUGAGACAGUGAAUGUGAAUGCACUUUAUAACCAUUUAAACUGCCAGCACCCUUAAUAUAUAACAAAGUAGGACUUCCCUACUGAGUUACAAGUACACAGGAAAGAAAUGGAAGCAAACUAAUAUUCUAAGACUAUAACUAAUAUUCUAAUAUACAUGCUAAGCUCACUUCUUGUCCUUGCUACUCAGGUUAGGGGAAUACAAAAGUCAGGCAAAUAGUCUUCCAAAACUAUAAGGACCCCCAGUUAGAGAGGAUUGUCUCUUUCCUAAGAAGAAGAUUAAUGUUGAAGAUGAGAGGCAAGAACAGGAAAGGAAAAGCUGUUCCAUGACCCUUGAGGCUUGGAAUUAUGCACUAACAAUCCACUUUUCAUAGCUGCUCCUGCCCUGGCUUGCUCAGAGUGCCACAGAGGUGAUUCCGGGGAACCGGCAUAAGCAGUCUAAGAACAUGCUUCAGGCUUCUCAUUCCUGGACUAGGACGGGCUAGGGUCCCAGAAUGGAAGGCAGUUGCUCAACAUCUUGCUCUCUUAACGGAGAAAUAUGGCAAUACACUCCUUUUUGAGGUGAAAAUGUAUGGCAAAUGAAACUCUCCCUGGGAGGCUGAGAACAUGCAAGGAAAGAGCCCCAAGUCUCCACCUCCCAGUCAGCCCUCCUUAUCGAGAAAGAUGUGGGAAUGGAGAGGGGAGCUUAAGCAAUUUGCUGACAGAAUAGGAGAAUUAGGAAGCUAUGAAAACAUCAGAUCCUGACCUUUUUAUCUCUCACUGUAGUAUAGAGCACUAUCUAGGUUAGGAGUCAGGAGACCUGAGGCUCCGGCUCCAUUUCAGAGUUAUGGUCAAGUCAUAACAUCACUGUGCCUCCAUUUCUUCAUCUGUAAAAUGGGACUAUAGUACUUGCUUUCCCUGCAGAGCUUUUGAAGAUCAAGUGACAAUGCUUUGGAAACUUAAAACCACUAUAUAAAUGGAGAGUAUAAAUACCCAUAGAAAUACAUAAGAAAAAAGAUACUCCACAUACUGCAGAAAAAGAACUCAGGCUCGGAGCUGAGCACAUCAGGGUCAUAACCUUGACUCCAGUUCUCACUGCCUAUCUGACCAUGGACAAUUUAUUAACUUUCUGAGGCUCAGAUUGCCCAACUGUAAAACUGAGAUACACUCAAGUCGUUGCUGUAAAUACAUGGUAAGCCAUGUGUUAUGGACUGAAUUGUGUCCUCUCGAAAUUCAUACAUUGAAACCCUAACCCCUAGUGUGAUUGUAUUUGGAGACAGGGCCUUUAAGGAAUUAAUUAAGGUUAAAUGAGGUCACAAGGGUGGGGCCCCACAUGGUUGGGACUAGUGUCCUUAUAAGAAGAGUAAGUGACACUAGGAGUGCACAUGCUCAAAGGAAAGGCCAUGUGAGGACACAGCCAGAAGGCAGUCCUCUUCAAGCCAAGGAGAGAGGGCUCAGGAGAAGCCCAACCCUGCAGACACCUUGAUCCCUGAUUUCCAGCCUCCAGAAUGCUUCUUUUUUUCUGGAACAUCUCUAGGUUGUUCUUUCUUCCUGGAUCCAAACCACCGGAGCUGCACUUUCUGGUAAGGUUUUCCUAUGAUUCUGUACAAGGGCAGAAAGAUGCUAGCGCCUUGUUUUGUCUCCAGUCUUUCUUAAUCGACCCCAUCAUUUAGGUUAAGUCAAAGCACAAAGGUGGUUUGGGCAGGGGCAGACGGAACCAAGGGUGCGGGGCUUCUCUCUACACCCUACCGGGGCCAGAUGCUAGGGACAGUGACCAUGUAUCUCGUGUCCCCACCGCCACCCGCAGACGGGAACUCAGAAGGCCUGGGUCGCCCGGGCAGAGAGACAACGAGCCGAAAAUCAGACGUUCAAGACAAACACAAGUCCGGGAAAACCUACCGGAAGUGCGUCACAGCCCCUCCCCCCCCCUCAGUGUUCUCUAGGAAUCCAGGAGGUCUCGCCGUCUCGGUGGUUCCCUGGGCCUUCCUAAAUCUAAGGGGUAUUUAACCUCCUCCUUCAGUCAGGAGAAAAGAGAAAGGUUUAGAAGCAGCUCCUUACCAAUAAGAUAGAAAUAAGGGACUAAUGGAAAAUCUAGCCUUCUGGGUGGAGGUGCAGGGCACAAGUUUUGAGAACCAGCACAUGGUGUUUCUAAUUGUUCCUUCUGCAGGGAGAGGACCCCAAGCUAAUGGCUGGGUCGCACACAGAUGGCUCCGGUACUUUUGUAAAAACAACAAAAACUUUUGAUAGAUUUAACCACAGGCUUCCUCCCUGCCCCAGUAGCGUAGCAAACAUUUCUAUCGAAUUCAACAUGCUCCGUGCACCCAUUUAUUGAUGUAAUUGGAAAGUAGACUCUACUGUUCUGUUCCUUUUUUGCUUUUAUUCCUUUCCAACAUUUUAAUGUUAAAAAGGAUAAGGAAGAAGCGUCUUGAGCGAACAAAUCUUGCUCUAACUUAACCAAACUUGAGGAAACAAAAUACAACCGUAAUGUUUUGUUUCCCUUUCCUUUUGGAGGUUGGGAAGGGCAGGCAACGAUGGAUGUGGUGACUGAAUGGCAGCAAAAAACUUUUCAGUCAAAUGUUCAAAUCGUAAAACUGUCAACUUUUUUCCUGCAACGAGGAGCAAUGAGAGAAAGAUGGAAAACUACAGAUCAAUGUCGUUUUCAGCAGAGAAAGAAGAUUCUGGCAAGCAGAGCUUUUUAACAUGGAAGAGGCUGCGUUGGGAGGCAAUGAACUCCUCAUCACUGGGAGAGGUUCAUGCAGAAACUGGAUAAUCAGCUGCCAGAAUGUCUUCUCCAGUUCAACACAAUUAAGCACUUGUUACAUGCACCGGCCUAUAGACUGAAAGGGGAUUCCUCCAUUGAGUGGGAGGUUGGGUUUGAUAAUCCCACAGGACCCAUUACAAUUCAAAGAUUCUCUAAUUGAAUGAUUUUAUCACAUCUUGGAUCAAAACUGUUUUUCACACAGAUGACAAGAACAGAGUUUCACCGCUUUAUAAUGUUUGAUGUUUAAUAAUAUAAGACAUAGUUUUAAGAGCUCAGCUUUUGGAGGCAGUGAUCUGAGUUCAGAUGCUGGUUCUGCCACAUAUGGGCUAUGUGACUUUGAGCAAAUGAAUGAACUAAUCUGAACCUCAGUUUUUCCCAACUGUAAGAUGAGGGUGCUAAUACUUGAAACCAGCUCAUAAUGCAGUGAGGAUUAAGUGAGAUGAUCUACAUAAAGUGCUUAGCAUGAUGUUUAGAACAUGGUAAAUGCUCAAUAAACAUUACCACCAGGCUUUAUUGAAGUGUCAUUCUCAACUAAGUCUUACACCUGACCUUUAGCUCUGUGAUUCUGUUUGCAGGAGACAAGAGUCUCCAUAAAUGCCAACAAGGAGGGCCUCUGACACACACAUUUUGCAUUAAGUUGGUGGUUAUCCG
rnacentral:lncRNA from 1 species